UACAGAGGGGGCAAGCGUUGUUCGGAAUUACUGGGCGUAAAGGGCGCGUAGGUGGCCUUCUAAGUUGAACGUGAAAUCCCUGGGCUCAACCCAGGAACUGCGUCCAAGACUGGGAGGCUUGAAUCCGGGAGAGGGAUGCGGAAUUCCAGGUGUAGCGGUGAAAUGCGUAGAUAUCAUUUGGAACGCCAAUGGUGAAAACAGGUUGCUGGGAGUGUGCUGACGCUGAGACACGAAAGCCAGGGGAGCGAACGGG
rnacentral:rRNA from 1 species